GAUGAAGAACGUAGCGAAAUGCGAUACUUGGUGUGAAUUGCAGAAUCCCGUGAACCAUCGAGUCUUUGAACGCAAGUUGCGCCCGAAGCCAUCAGGUUGAGGGCACGUCUGCCUGGGCGUCACAUAUCGUUGCCCAAUGCCUAUUGCAGUGCAAUAGGAAUUUCUAGGGCGAAUGAUGGCUUCCCGUGAGCGUUGUUGCCUCGCGGUUGGUUGAAAAUCGAGUCCUUGGUAGCGUGUGCCAUGGUAGAUGGUGGUCGAGUUAGAACGAUACCGAUCAUGUGCAUGCUCCCCAAAAUAUGGCCUCUAUGACCCACACGCGUCUUUUGACGCUCAUGACGAGACCUCAGGUCAGGCGGGGCUACCCGCUGAAUUUAAGCAUAUCAAUAAGCGGAGGA
rnacentral:misc_RNA from 1 species